GGAGAGGUGACCGAGUGGCUGAAGGUGCACGCCUGGAAAGCGUGUGUAGGGGAAACCCUACCGAGGGUUCGAAUCCCUCUCUCUCCGCCA
rnacentral:tRNA from 1 species